rnacentral:rRNA from 1 species
AUUGAACGCUGGCGGCAGGCUUAACACAUGCAAGUCGAGCGGAGUGAUGGUGCUUGCACUAUCACUUAGCGGCGGGCGGGUGAGUAAUGCUUAGGAAUCUGCUUAUUAGUGGGGGACAACAUAUCGACAGGGAUGAUAAUACCGCAUACGCUCUACGGGCGAAAGAAGGGGUUCAAUUUAUAUCUUGCGUUCAUGGAUGAACCAAAGUCGGAUUAGCUAGUUGGUUGGGUAAAGGCCUACCAAGGCGACGAUCUGUAUCGGGUCUGAGAGGAUGAUCCGCCACACUUGGACUGAGACACGGCCCAGACUCCUACGGGAGGCAGCAGUGUGGAAUAUUGGACAAUGGGGGGAACCCUGAUCCAGCCAUGCCGCGUGUGUGAAGAAGGCCUUAUGGUUGUAAAGCACUUUAAGCGAGGAGGAGGCUCUUUUGGUUAAUACCCAAGAUGAGUGGACGUUACUCGCAGAAUAAGCACCGGCUAACUCUGUGCCAGCCGCCGCGGUAA